rnacentral:lncRNA from 1 species
GAAAAAGUGCAUUUAAGUGAUAGAAUACUGUCAACCUAUAGCACGAAUAGGGGUUAAACAAAGUAAAUCCCUACCUUUACAUGUCAAAUAAAAGACUUUCAUAAUAUCAAAUAUCAAAACUCAUGUCUAGUAAAGGAUUCCCCAAUGCUGGCUCUCAAAAUUGCUUUUGUUUCAUGGAUGAGAUGAUGGUUUUUGUGGAUAUUCUGCUCAACUUGGAUUAUGACUUGGGUCAGAUCCCAACUUGCUGCAAAGCUCACCUGACUAAAUCUUAGUUGAUUUGCUUUUCCAAACUAAAUCCAAGCAAGUAAGUACAAGAGAUAAAAGCAAAAGUUCAAGCAUCUCAUUUGAGCCUGUCACUAACAAAUGGUCGAUGAGCAAUGUCUAGCUAUGAAUGAGCAACAGAAUCAAUAAACAGACAGACAAAAAAUAAUAAUCAAGUCAUCUGUAUAUGUAUGAUCAUUCAUUUCUCAAUCAACCACCAAAUUGAUGUCAACAAAGCCAUGAGGAUUGUCUCAGCAGUCUUUCAUUUUCCCUCUCUUUAGGCCAGAGACCAGUAAACCAUUUGAAAUAUGGAUGUGCAAACCAGUAAAUAAAUCAUGAAGUUACACACUAGUCUGCUUUCGCACUCAUUCAGAACUAUCAAUGAUACUUACUGCAGGUACGGUGUAUACAUUAUACUAAAGUGAAGGCUGG